AGAGUUUGAUCAUGGCUCAGAAUCAACGCUGGCGGCGUGCCUAACACAUGCAAGUCGAACGCGAGAGGGGCUUCGGCCCCGAUUGAGUGGCAAACGGGUGAGUAACGCGUGGGUGACCUACCUCCGAGUGGGGGAUAACGUUCCGAAAGGGACGCUAAUACCGCAUAACAUCCUGUUUUUGGACAGGCGGAGAUCAAAGCCGGGGAUCGCAAGACCUGGCGCUUGGAGAGGGGCCCGCGUCCGAUUAGCUAGUUGGUGAGGUAACGGCUCACCAAGGCGACGAUCGGUAGCCGGCCUGAGAGGGCGGACGGCCACACUGGGACUGAGACACGGCCCAGACUCCUACGGGAGGCAGCAGUGGGGAAUUGUUCGCAAUGGGCGCAAGCCUGACGACGCAACGCCGCGUGGAGGAUGAAGGUCUUCGGAUUGUAAACUCCUGUUGAUCGGGACGAACAUCCACCGGGAUAACACCCCGGAGGACUGACGGUACCGGUUGAGGAAGCCCCGGCUAACUCUGUGCCAGCAGCCGCGGUAAUACAGAGGGGGCAAGCGUUGUUCGGAAUUACUGGGCGUAAAGGGCGCGUAGGCGGCCGCCUAAGUCAGACGUGAAAUCCCUCGGCUCAACCGGGGAACUGCGUCUGAUACUGGGUGGCUUGAAUCCGGGAGAGGGAUGCGGAAUUCCAGGUGUAGCGGUGAAAUGCGUAGAUAUCUGGAGGAACACCGGUGGCGAAGGCGGCAUCCUGGACCGGCAUUGACGCUGAGGCGCGAAAGCCAGGGGAGCAAACGGGAUUAGAUACCCCGGUAGUCCUGGCCCUAAACGAUGAGUGCUUGGUGUGGCGGGUAUCGAUCCCUGCCGUGCCGAAGCUAACGCAUUAAGCACUCCGCCUGGGGAGUACGGUCGCAAGGCUGAACUCAAAGGAAUUGACGGGGCCCGCACAGCGUGAGCAUGUGUUUAUCGACGCACGCGAGACUUACCAGGCUCGAAUGCGAUGACAGGCGGUGAAGCCGC
rnacentral:rRNA from 1 species